UUUUCUUUUUCGAAAGUCAUCUGUUCGAGCAGGCUGUUGUGACCUCAUGCUUUCUCUCUCUCUCUCUCUCUCUCUCUCCUUCUUUCUUCCUCUCUUCCUCUCCCUGUUUCUGCCUCUUGGCAGCUGGGCCAAAGUGGGCAGGGAGAGAGGAGGGCACGGCCGAGACUGCUCUCAAGCCCCAGCCCUUGUUCGAGUGGGGUUGCUCGCCAGCACGCUGCUCAGCCUUUCCCUCAUCUUGCAGACGAAAGAGAGGGACGUGGAAACGCGCUCUCCUCUCCUUUCUUCCCCGCCCUUUUUUCACCACCACCAUGGCCUGUUCACUUCGGGUCAUCUCUGCGGAGAUCCCUGCUCUGUCCUUUACAAAAUCUACUUCCAGUUCCCUAGUAGAACUCCUAAACCUCAUCUCUGGGUCGACGCCAGACUAAGCACCUGUCCUUGAGGCUGAGGAGACAGACUGAUCGUCAACAACCCUGAAGAUUGACUGUUCUCCCCUGACCGUCCCACCCAUCUUCCCAGCCUGGACACCUGCCUGCAGCCUGUCUCUGCUCUGUGGGGAAGUUACACCAUUAGCAUAUCACCUCCAUUUACACCCAUUCACAGACUGUUGCAGGACAAAAUGAGAACGGGUAACAUUUCCUUUGUUAGACCACCCAAUGCUUUAUUUGUUGUGUUUGAGUAAAAGUGUACUUUAGGGCGAUUGUGUUUGUGUUGUCGCCUCUCGCUGUAUCUCUUUGAGUGUGUUUGAAUGACAUUCCCCCUUCAUCCAUCAGUCUUUCAGGUGAAUGUGUCCUGGCGAGGUGAGGUAGUAGGUUGUAUAGUUUGUGGGAGGGAUUUAAUCCUAUUCAGGUGAUAACUAUACAGUCUAUUGCCUUCCUUGAGAGGCACAAUGACCGGCUGCAGCAACGAGGAAGUCCACAGAAAGCUGCUCUCUGAAUUCCUCAAUGCAUUGGAUGCAAUCUCACUAUGAUAAAGCAACAGCUGGAGCACAAAUGUGUUUAUAGCCUCGCCAGCGCCACUUGGUGGCCAAGGAGCAGCAGGACUCCAGAGACCUUGUAGGUUCACGAUUCAGAGCUCCUCAAGAAUGAAAGGAUAUGAAAUGCACUCAACAGAGAAUGCAUCAGUGUUACAAAAUCUAAACAAUAAGGGUUGGUUCUCCAGAACCAAAUCAAGCCCUAAAUAAAUGCUUUUAGGCUUUUGAUAUGUUUAAGGGUAACAUUAUUCAAGGUUUUAUUAAUUAACAAAGGUUAAAUAUAGUUAUUAAAGUAGCAUCUAGUCUUUUAAUCUGACUUUUUAGGGCAUUAAAUACAUCUGAUUACACCUCAUUUCAAUUCUGAAGAUAGUUUUUUUGUCAGUAACAAUACAUGCUAUAGGGCUAUAAGCUUUAUUUUGUGGUCAGUAACCACACAUGAUAUAGGUUUAUACAUUUACUGCCAGUCAAUUCAAAAGUUGCUGAGAGGGUAUUAGGGUUGUUCCACAAAAAGAGUGCCUUUUUGCGUCUCUUUGAUAUUUUAAGUAGAAAUUGUGCACCAAUAUUGAAUUUUAAAAGCCUAUUAUACUAAAUGAAGUGCCCUUUAAUAUAGACCACAUGGAGAAUUCAACAAAUUAGAUAUGUUAUGUGAAUAAAGGCUUGUUAAAGUGCCCCUUUGUCAGCCCCGUGUCACAAGAUGUCAACCCCCUUAUAUCUAGUUGGAAAGCUCUAGUUAUAAAGCCCGAUUUCAUCAUGGGGGACAACUACAUCUAAAUUUACCACACCGAUGACAUGAACAGUUACAGUAUGACCUAGGUUGAAUUUCAACAAAACUGAAAGUAUGUAGCUACAUCUCUUUAACGAAAAGAGAAACAACUGCCAGGAAGGUCAGUUGAGUUCUGAUACAGAGUACCAGGCCAUGUUAUCAUUAUGGCAGGAACACAAUGUGUUUGUUCAUCUAUUGCAAUAUACCAUAUCGCAAUAAUAAAAUACAUAUCCCACUGCCAUCUAGUGUGCUUACACAAGACCAGGGGAAUAAUGCCGGAGAUAGCGAUGUGCUGCAUGCCAAUACACAUUAAUCAAGACACAAUAUUGUCAUUACAACAUUUGUAUAAUACAUACAAUGUAAUAGUAUGUAUUUUACAAACCAUUUUGAAAUAAAAAUGUAACUUUAGAUUGGAUUUCUUAAUCUCUGAAAAUGUAUGAUGAUAUCGAAGAAUGUCAGAGCUAUAUGUAUACUGUAGGUCUACACACUUAACAUUAAACACAACCUUACAGUAAGGGGGGAAAGUAUUUGAUCCCCUGCUGAUUUUGUACGUUUGCC
rnacentral:lncRNA from 1 species